UUCAGUGCACCGUUCCAGAAUCUUGGUAUACAUCAGUGAACAAAACAGAGUAAAAUCCCUGUGUUUGUUAAGUUUACAUAUUAAAGGGGGAAAGAGAUAAUAAACAUUAAGCAUAAUAAGCAAAAUACAUAGUAUCUGAGAAGUUGGAGGGUAUUGGUAAAAAACAGAACUGAGGCAGAGAGUUAGUGGGUAGGGUGGAGAGAAGUAAGAGGUAAUUUUAAAUAAAAUGCUCAAUGUAUACCUUAUUAAGAAGUUAAUAUUUAAGCAAAAACUUGAGAUAGCUGGGGUAUGCAUGUUCCUAAGGCAGGAAUUUGUCUUUUGGGUUCAAGAAAUAGUAGAAAGCUCAAAGUGACCAGAGCACAGCAGUGAGAGAACCUACUUAGAAAGAGGUCACGGGAGCCAGAGCGGAUAGAGUCUUGUAAGCCUUUGUAAGAACGAUGGCUUUUACUCUGAAUGAGAAGGGGAGUCAAUGGAAGCUUUAGAGGAGAGGAGUGACACUAUAUGACUUUAUUUUUCAAAGGUUUACUGUGGCUGCAGCAUUGAGAACAGAAAGAAUGGAGCAAGACUGGAAACAAGAGGAAAACAAUGUCUCCAAGAGUUGCAGACUAGAUGCCAGUGUCUGGAUCAAUUAGAUAUCCAUUGGAGGAGAGAGAGUUCAGCCUUCUCACCACAGACCUUCAGGUUUACCUACCACAGCUCUGUAACAGAGG